CAGUGAAAGCCACCGUUGCCCGGGGAUGGGUCCCUGACACUUGGCGAAGUAGGAGCCCUGUGUGAUCGUGCGUCUGAGUCUGGGCUGAGACCAGUCCUGGCCAGGGCAGUUACCGGGACGGUCUCCGGAGGCCGGGAUUCGCGGAGGGUCCACCAGCAGGAAGAAACCCCAGGAGGAACAAAGCUCAGACAGAUCGCCGGCGAGGCAGCGCGGGAUCCCAGCCUCAGGCGUGCGCGGACGGUGUGCGGGUGAGUCUCCCAAAAAGUGGAGCCUUUGUGAUGACGAGCACAGGUCCGCCUGUGUGCCCGUGGACUGCUCUCUCACCGACGGCUCUUAGUCGCGGAGAGCAGAAUCCGGCAGCUUCACGGGCUGCCUGGGGGUGGGUGUUACCUGCUGUAUGUGUGCGUUAUGGGUGUGUGUGUGUGUGCGCGUGUAUGUGUGGCUGUGUGUGUGCGUGCGUGCGUGCGUGCGUGUCUGUGUGCCGACUUCUGUCUCUCUCUUACGUCUCUCUCUCUCUCUCUCUCUCUCUCUCCCUUCUCGCUCUUUCCGUCGCCCUCUCUUUCUGUCUCUGUCCGUCUCUGUGUGCGUGCACCUUGGGACACAUGUGCCCUGUGCGCCGGACGGUGGGUUUCUUGCACGUCGGCCUUUCUUCUGGUCAGCCUCUCCCCGCGUCUCUGCUUGGGUCGUGUGGCCGGUUGGCAGUCGUCGUCCCGGCGGUUCCAAUUUGGGGGUCUGUGAAGGCCUGGGCAACGUGGGCAUCGGCGUGGGACCCGCAGGGGUUUUCAUCCCCUCCCCAUCCGGAGCAGCCUCUUUGCUAGGCUGGAUCCAGACGAGCGCUCCCCAACCAGGGACAACGGCCUCCCAGGCGCUCAUUGUCCACCCGCAGGAGGGUGCCCGCAGAGCUUCAAGAAGGUGGUUGUCACGCCUGUCGCCCUCUCCCCUCAUCGAGAUAUGGAGCCACAGCUCGACGCAGGGACAGAGAAGGAAGCCGGCAAGGGGAUGGGGCAAGCAUGUCUGUCUCUCAAAGGCUGGCCUUCCUGGCCGAGUCACCCGUUUGACACUCCUCCCCGGAUGCCGGUGGUGGUGGCAUGGCCCCCCCGUAUCCUGCCUGGGCUCUGGCCUCUGCUCUGACCUCCCUCUUGCUGUGUCUGCCCCGUCUCCGAGAAGCCUGGCGGCUUCUUAGUGUGGCUCAGUGUCUUCCACAAAGAAGACGUCCCCGUCCAUCAGGGAGAAACCUCGUGGGGGUCCGCGUCAUGAUUGUUUCCCUCUCCACACCUCUUUCUGGAUGAUUGGGCAGCUGAGGUGUUCCUGGAGCUCUGGGCUUCCAUAGCUGUGUGGGACAGGGAAGCUCUCUUGGUCUCCCUGGCCCAAGUGAUGGCUGCACGCUCGGUCCAGGAAGAGGGGGAGGCAAGCCCACCGCUCCUGACAUUGGCCUAGGAAAGGCGGUGUUGCAUCCCACCUGCACUUCCUCUCUGAUUCUUGAGGGCCAACCGGUUCCUCCGCUCCUGGGGAAAGUGCCUUCUAGCACUGAAUCUUUUGGCUGCCACGGAUGUCAGGGAGCCAACGGGACUGGGAUUUGGCUGGGUGCAGGGGAGGUUGCGUCAGGGGUACCUAGCCGGCGGCGGGCUGGGGGUGGGGUGUACUUUGUCCAAAGCUCUCGGCUCCUCUGGCGGGCCUCCCUGAACGUGGCCUGGACUCGCGCACAGGCCCUGUCUCGCAGGUUUUCAGGUGCGCUUGGCUUUUCCUCCGCUUUGUGGGGCAGGUCUCCAGUGGCCCCCGGGGCGCACGCCUGGACAUCACUGUCCGUCUCGUCGUCGCCCCCUACGGCCUCAAAGACACACGCUGCCUGCAUGUGCUCUUGGGGGACGACAGUGCCACGUGUGGUCACACUGGCUCCAGCUCGGACUCGCCUGUGUCUCUCUUUGCCCGUGUCGCCGGAAGCCGCGUCGGGAUGCCGGAGCCCCCGGGCCUUGGAGAUGAAGGCUAGCCCCUGCUCCUGCCAGGAAGGAGGGAGGCAGUGGGCUCAUGGGUCGGUGCCUUUGCAGCCGACAGCACGCCUUGCGGCCCUGGGGAUCUUUCUGUGCCCCGGCGAGACCCUUUCCGCCUCACUGCAUUGGAACCCCACUUCCGAUCGCCCGGUGGGAUCCAUCAUCGGACCCCAAGAGGAGUCCGCGCGGCCCAGCCGGCACCCCGAAGCUCCUCCUUCAGCGGGAGCCGAAGCAGAAGAGCGAUCAAGGAGGUCCUGACCACAGGACUCCUAUGGGUCCGACCCUGGGUCUCCCGCAGGCCCCUCUGGCAGUCCUCUUCCCACCCGCCGCCUCGGGCUGCCCCGCAGCCGCCGCCGCCGCCGCCGCAACCUCCAGCACCGCCACCCCAGGCCCCGCAGCCGCCGCCUCGCCGCCAUUUUUUAAAGGGUCCGCAGCCUGACUCUGCGGAGUAAGGGGUGUGGGGCGGGGGAGUCGGCCUCGCCAGUGCGCAUGCGCGAGGCCCGAGCCGCCGCUUGGGUCACAGUGAAAGCCACCGUUGCCCGGGGAUGGGUCCCUGACACUUGGCGAAGUAGGAGCCCUGUGUGAUCGUGCGUCUGAGUCUGGGCUGAGACCAGUCCUGGCCAGGGCAGUUACCGGGACGGUCUCCGGAGGCCGGGAUUCGCGGAGGGUCCACCAGCAGGAAGAAACCCCAGGAGGAACAAAGCUCAGACAGAUCGCCGGCGAGGCAGCGCGGGAUCCCAGCCUCAGGCGUGCGCGGACGGUGUGCGGGUGAGUCUCCCCAAAAGUGGCGCCCUUGUGAUGAGGAGGACAGGUCUGCCUGUGUGCCCGUGGGCUGCUCUCUCACCGGUGGCUCGUAGUGGCGUAAAGCAGAAGCAGCAGUUUCAUGGGCUGACCCUAAGAACAAUGCAUGCUGGCAAAGUGAGGUGUCUCACAUCUUUAAUCCCAGCAGUUUGGGAGGCUUUGGCGGAUGGAUCACUUGAGGUCAGGGGAUCACACCAGCCUAACCAACAUGAUGAAACUCUGUGUGUACUAAAAAAAAGUACAAGGCCGUUAGCUCGGUGUGGUGGCAUAUGCCUGUACAUCCCAGCUAUUUGGGAGGCUGAGGCAGGAGAAUCGGUUGAACCCGUGUGGCAGAGGUGCGGUGAGUGGAGAUUGCGCCACUGCACUCUAUCCUGGGUAACAAGCACAAAACUCUGUCUCAAAAAAAAGAAAAAAAAAUUAACAGUGCAGAGUUAGGCCAGAUUUAUUUUCAGAGUAGGAGGGAAUUUCAAAUUUUGGGUGAAAUGUCCCAGUUGCCGGAAGGUGAACGUGUUCUCUGAUGUAAAAUUUAGGUCACACUCUAUAAAGCUUCUCCUUGUUCUAUGUGUGAACAGCUAGGCUGUAUCUUCACCUAUGCAUAUUAAAAAAUCAACCUUAAGAAGGCUCUUGGCCACCAUAAUCCUUCCUACACUGUAGCAAGAGCCCAGCCUGAGACUAUGCUUCCUUGUGCCUCCGACUGCAAUGCCUUCCCCCGAAUCUCCAAGGUACCAAACCGGUCAGGGGUAGCUGAGACAGCUCUACUUCUAGGAGUCCUCCCCAAGCCCUUGAAAUCACAGGCAUCUCUGCUGUCCCUGCCCUUCAUCCACAUGACUGAACAAUUAAGCAAACACAUCUGUGUAGUUUUAUUUAAACUGUUCCAUGUGUGUUUACAAUUAACAACAUGAAUGGCUGCGGUAUGGAUGCAGCAGAAAGGAAUGCUGAGGGAGGACUCCAGUUAGAAUGAGCCACUUUUCCAGGACUAGGAAUGAACUUUCCCCAGUACCAACAAGGCAGCCUCCAGGGCAAGAAAUGGUAACAGAAUCCAUCCUGUUGACAGUCAAGAUGGAAUUACAGAUAAUUCUCACCUCUUUUUUGACUCUCAGGUGGAAACCCCCUUCCCAUGGGGUGAAGCACAGUCUGCUCCAGAGCCCCACUGUUGGGGUCGGGGAUGUCACAGAAAUUAACAGGGCAGCCAAUUCCCAUCCAGAGGGGGCCCAGGAUGACCCCGAACCCUCUAGCUCAGCCCCAAGCUCGGGCCAGGGAGUGAAGCCCUUGUCCCCAAGCAACAGAGUGAGGGUCUGUCUCUAACCCGGUGGGCUCCAGUGAAAGGAAAAUGGCCUGGAGGUGCCCACAGGAGGGCGCCCUAGUUCUCAGACAGGUCUACAGCUCCCAGACUGCGUCCCCAUGAGUAACAGAGGGACACGCAGAGGGGCAUACUGAGUGCCUAUAGGGGACUCACAGACUGCAGAUGCACGCUGCGGAUCCAGAAGCCGGUCAGGUAAUGAGGUGCAGAGGUGUGGGGAAGACCUGGGUGCCAACCAGCCUAACCAGCCAGGGCCACCAAACAGAAGUGCUUCUGACAUUAACGCGACACACAGAAGGUGUGUAGGGUGGGCAGUGGAAGUGACCGCAGAGGCCUCUGGGGAUUGUAGUUUUGGAACUAGAGAGGCGGGCAAGCAGUUGGCUUCGCCCACACGGUGUGCCUCUCACAUCUGCACAGCACACACAACCAAGCUUAGGAGCCGACUGUUAAGAUGCCCCAGUGACAUGGACAAGUUUCUCCUCUGCAACCCAAUGAGAUCUGCUGACCACGAGAGCAUCGCGGGACCGCCAAAGGAUUCUGGAAAAUGUGGUCCCGGGUGGCCAGUGUGCGCUGACCUUCACCUGAAGGUACGGCUUGAAGGAAACUUCUGGAGGGUGGGGUGGUGUUGAAGAGAAGGCACAGUUGUAACCAUUUUGUUCAACAUGGGCGUUUUCUUUGUGCAUUGAUUUGCAUUUUUAAAGGUAUUCCAUUAAAAAUAUGUUUAUCUAUUUUAA